rnacentral:rRNA from 1 species
CUACGGGCCGCUGCAGUGGGGAAUAUUGGACAAUGGGCGCAAGCCUGAUCCAGCAAUGCCGCGUGAGUGAAGACGGCCUUAGGGUUGUAAAACUCUUUCGCUAGGGAAGAUAAUGACUGUACCUAGUAAAGAAGUCCCGGCUAACUCCGUGCCAGCAGCCGCGGUGAAUACGGAGGGGACUAGCGUUGUUCGGAAUUACUGGGCGUAAAGAGUUCGUAGGCGGACUGACAAGUUAGAGGUGAAAUCCCAGGGCUCAACCCUGGAACUGCCUUUAAAACUGUCAGUCUAGAGACCGGAAGAGGUUAGGGGAAGACCUAGUGUAGAGGUGAAAAUCGUAGAUAUUAGGUGGAACACCAGUGGCGAAGGCGCCUAACUGGUACGGUACUGACGCUGAGGAACGAAAGCGUGGGGAGCAAACAGGAUUAGAUACCCGCGUAGUC